rnacentral:rRNA from 1 species
GCAGCAGCCGCGGUAAUACGUAGGUGGCAAGCGUUGUCCGGAUUUAUUGGGCGUAAAGCGAGCGCAGGCGGUUAGAGAAGUCUGAAGUGAAAGGCAGUGGCUCGACCAUUAUAGGCUUUGGAAACUGUUUAACUUGAGUGCAGAAGGGGAGAGUGGAAUUCCAUGUGUAGCGGUGAAAUGCGUAGAUAUAUGGAGGAACGCCGGUGGCGAAAGCGGCUCUCUGGUCUGUAACUGACGCUGAGGCUCGAAGGCGUGGGGAGCGAACAGGAUUAGAUACCCGCGUAGUCCCUGUCUCUUAUACC